rnacentral:lncRNA from 1 species
GGGUCUUAGCGUUUUUUAAAAUUCUUUAAAACAAGGACAGAAAUAAUUUUAUUCCAUAAGUGCCUUCCACCCUAUAUAUGUCCCAUCUGUCAAUGUCAAAUCUAAGAAAAAAAUCGUAUGAAAACCUGUUUGCGUAACCUAAUUACAUACAAAAAAGCUCAGAAAUUACUAUUUCAACUCCGUUUAUUUAAGUAACAGAAGUGGGGCUGAAAGGGUUAACCAAAGCAUUUUUCGGUUAAUUGUUCGAAUUUAACAUUUAGAGUGAAAAGUUAUAAUCUUUUACUUAAUGUAACAGGCACUGAAUGAGAGGUUAAAAUCAAAAUAUUCCAAAAGUUGUAAAAACUCAAGGCUAUACCAAAGCAGUAUGCUACACUAAGCUCAUUUUUCCAUUCCCUGUGGCAUAUUCUAUGUUGGUGGUUUUUUUGUAUCACUAGCAAAGUCUAACAAGCUAUCCUAGAGACUCAUUAAUAUUCAACGGAAUGCUAUUGUUUGACAACAAGGAAUCAUUUCAUAAAACAGGUAGACCCCUUGUUUAUGGAAUUUCACACCUCAAACAAUAGCACCCUGCUGAGCUGAAUAUUAAAGAUUAUACUUUUUCUGGGUACUCUUUCUGGUGCGGUAGAUUGUCUUUUAGUUUUGCAUAUAAGCAUAAAAA